GCCUUCGUAUGUAGUGGUUAGCACGCUCGUCGCGUAACCGAGAGGUCAGUGGUUCGAUUCCCGGCGAAGGCG
rnacentral:tRNA from 1 species